rnacentral:rRNA from 1 species
CACUACUUUGAUGGCGACCGGCGCACGGGUGAGUAACACGUAUGCAACCUACCUACAUCAGGGGAAUAACCCGGAGAAAUUCGGACUAAUACCGCAUAAUACAGGGAUGCCGCAUGGCAAUAUNNGUUAAAGAUUUAUCGGAUGUAGAUGGGCAUGCGUUCCAUUAGCUAGUUGGUAAGGUAACGGCUUACCAAGGCAACGAUGGAUAGGGGAACUGAGAGGUUUGUCCCCCACACUGGAACUGAGACACGGACCAGACUCCUACGGGAGGCAGCAGUGAGGAAUAUUGGUCAAUGGACGAGAGUCUGAACCAGCCAAAUCGCGUGAAGGAAGACUGCCCUACGGGUUGUAAACUUCUUUUGUACAGGAAUAAAAGACAUUACGUGUAAUGUAUUGCAUGUACUGUACGAAUAAGCAUCGGCUAACUCCGUGCCAGCAGCCGCGGUAAUACGGAGGAUGCGAGCGUUAUCCGGAUUUAUUGGGUUUAAAGGGUGCGCAGGCGGGAUUUUAAGUCAGCGGUGAAAUUUUCAGGCUCAACCUGAACACUGCCGUUGAAACUGGGAUUCUUGAGUAUGGAUGAAGUAGGCGGAAUUCGUUGUGUAGCGGUGACAUGCUUAGAUAUAACGAGGAACUCCGAUUGCGUAGGCAGCUUACUAAGCCAUAACUGACGCUCAAGCACGAAAGCGUGGGGAUCAAACAGGAUUAGAUACCCUGGUAGUCCACGCCGUANACGAUGAUUACUAGUUGUUUGCGAUAUACCGUAAGUGACUAAGCGAAAGCGAUAAGUAAUCCACCUGGGGAGUACGCCGGCAACGGUGAAACUCAAAGGAAUUGACGGGGGCCCGCACNNNCGGAGGAACAUGUGGUUUAAUUCGA